ACUUUCAAUCCAAAGCUUGCCAUAGUGUAUUUGAACUAUUAAUGAACCUAUAAACAUCAUAAAGUUUACUUUCCAAGCCAUUGAGGAUGUAACUUUUUCAUACGAAGUCAUUAUGCUUGCAUGCAUCCCCAUCAACAACUGUUCUGGAAUCAAAUUCUAUUUUUGAGAGUUUUGCUCAUCUUUAGUUAAGAACCUAGCCAAAUUCAAGGUGGUCAAAUAAAACAUCGUUGGGGAUCGACUCAUAUAAGCAACGAGAAAGAAAGAAUAGAGAAAGUUGGGCACACAAAUUUACAUGGAAAAACUUCUCCAAUCAAGAGGAUAAAAAACUAUAGGCAAAGGAAACUUCAUUAAUGAGCAAACAAACGAAGAGUACAAGAUGGAGAAAUUCAAAACAAACUCUAAAUCCUGAAAAACAAAACUCUCUAGCUAAAACACAAAAUUCCCUUAAAGCUCUCUCGAAACUCUCUAGAUCUUCUCUCAAAAUUUGAUGUUAUGAAGAUGUUUAUUCUAAAGUUACUAAGGCCCUUUUCAUAGGCUAAGAUUAGAGUUCUAAUUAUACUAAAAUAUCUAUUGUAUAAUUAGAGUUUAAUUGGGAAAAGUAACCCUACUGAGAGUUUAAUUACGUAACUGCUUUAAGUUGUAAUUUUUAGCGUUGCCGUCUGUUGGAGAUGUCGCGAUACUAAAGUCCUCAUGGCAUAAUACGGGCUGCUAUAAGGGCCUAGAAAUGUCUAAAAAUGUGAGACACACUUCACAGUUGACACCACUUAAAGUUUGUUCCAUCAAAUAUUUUAGGUUUCUCACCAUGCACUAGUAAGGGUGAUAGUGGAAUCUUACCUUUCGGAAAAGUCUUACCUCACUAGUUUCAUAAUUUUGAGCAGAUGUCAUGUUAUCUAAAAAUCAAUAUAAAAAAUUAUUUUUGAUUAAAAAAAUAAACACUAAUGUUGAACUUAUGGCAAUCCAAUAAAGUAUAUAAUUCGUUUAUUUGUAAACUUUGUUAAAACUAGCAGCAACAACAACUACUUAUUGUGAACCACACACUUACUUGUUCACAAUAAAAUUGAAAAAUCGAUAAUUAACAUUGUUACCAAGAGUUAAACCUUUUACCUUUAAGGUAAAAUUGCUCGUCAAUUGGUGCAUAAGAUUUGAUGCAAUUGUCCCCUUCAAACUUUAACAACAACACCUCAAAGACUUACACAUCUCUUAAAGGUCCACAGAUUUAUGGAAUAAUUAAAUUUUUUCUCUACAAUAAUAAAGUUUUAAGGUGAAAAAAAAAUUGUAAUAACCUGAUGAUUAAUAGUGUUCACCGCUUCAGAUGUGACCUGGAUUUAAGUUACACUAGUCGUUCAAUUAUAAAUUUAUAAAAAUAAAAAAAUAUUUUCUAAUGUUUUAUAGAUAUAUGAAUAAUAAAACGAAUCACCAAACAAAACUAUACAUAAUCAAGCCACAUAUCUUUUAUAUUCUUAAGAUCUUAUCUUCUCUCUUAAACUGUCUAUUCACACUAAGAAUAUAAAAACUCAUUUAUUGUAUAACUUUUAAAAAAGCAGGAAAAAAAAGAGAAAUGUGUUUUGACAAAGCAGAUAAACUAAAGGGAGAAUAAGAAAGAAAUUUUGCGUUGUCGGCAUUUCUUAGAAAAUGAAGGCAAGUCAAGGUGAUGGGGUCACUAGGCAAGGAGCAUCCAAGCUUUUUCUCUUCUUGAUUUAUUGAAUUUUAUUUUUAUAUAAAAAAUAAAUAAAAAUGGUUUUAUUUUGGCAGUUUAUGUGUCCCUUGAUAAAGAUUGUGUAGUCAAAGGAGGAGACACAUUUCACAUUCACAAGGACAAUUGUACACUCUCAAUGUCAUAAGUUAAUCCUUCCCUAUGAACCCAAACACCCCAUUUUUAAUUUCAUUUCACAUACAAAAAUAUAAAUACUGAAAAUUUAAUUUUAUUUAACACCAUGUGACAAAAGGGAAGGUAAAGAUAUUAGGAUGUUGGGGGUCAUGUGCUUGGAGGGAUAAAGAGCAUAAAUAAAAGAAAUAAAAAUAAAUUUAAAGACCUUUUUUUCCCUUUAAAAUUAGAGUAAAAUUUUAGAGGAUUUUAUUUUAUUUUUAGGGUCUCUCAUGACAUGUGUGUGAUUCCUUUGCCUUUAGGACACUCACUGUGAGGCCCCAAAGUGGAAAGGGGAAAAAAGAAGUCCUUAAAAAACCAAACUUCCACUGCUUUGGAUUCUAAUUCAAGUCCUUUAAACAUGUGAUUUAGGGUACUUAGGGUCACUAGGUGUGGUAUUCUGUUCUAAGAUAAUUUAUCUAUAUAAUUAAAUUGAUGUCACAAAUCAAUUUAAUAUUAAUGAAGUUAAAAAAUUUAGUGCAAGACAUGUAAGAAAAAUGAACUAUUUGACUUUUAAUUUCAGGCACUGUUUUAUUCAUAAUGGUUAUGAAAUCUGUGAAUGGUCAUUAAUUGAAGGACAGGAACAUCACUUAUUCCUAGAGACAAUAUUUUCAUUCAAUAAAUUAUAGAAACAUUUAUUCCUCUAAAAAUUUUAAAAAUAAAAUAUUUUUUAGUACAAUAAAAAUAUGGGUUGCUUAAAAAUAAUAGAAAAAUACAUCAACCUUUCCUUUUUAUAAAAAAUAACAGGUUAUAUCAUCAUAUCAAUUUCAUAUUUUCUAAAAAAAAAAUUAAAAAAAAAACUUUUACAACUUGUAUAAUUUUCUUGGGGGGACCGAUCUCUAUUAUCUAGGGCUGAGCUACAAAAUUUUCAUGAAACAAGAUCCCAUGUGUUCAUUGGGUUUCAUUACAAAACAAAGGAAGAAACCAGAAAAGAAACCCUACCAGACCCAAGUGAGGAAAAAAACAAACACAUGCAAAUGAUUUUAAACACUAUGAAACCAACACUUACUCGAUUUGGAGGAUGUUAAAGUCAUCGGCGGCAGCCGGCAGGAUAUUUUCCGAUGAGUUUUU
rnacentral:lncRNA from 1 species